AACACCUGUCAUCAUUAGCUUCUGCUCAAAAAGAACAAAACACACACACACACAAAGCAGAUGAACAAUGGCUUAAUUUAUGACAUAUCACUGUUCAUGGACAACAAAUCAAACUUCUGCACAGAGAAAACAAAACAGAAACUGAAUGGGAUCGGUAAUGAAGAAUGGGUGCAAGUCCAAAAAGUCUUUCCCUAGUGCACACCACCAAGAAAGCAUGGCUGUGAUGUGGAGUGCUCUUGUGGACACAAACCGAGGAUGCACUUAAAUGAACUGCACUGAAGCCAAGAACAGCUGAGAGCGGCUCAGCCUCACCAAUCAGAACCACCAGACGGGGCCUCUCAUGGGGCCUCUGUUGGUAGCGGGUCACCUCUUCAUAAGUCAGGAA